GCAGUCGAGCGGUAGAGAGGUGCUUGCACCUCUUGAGAGCGGCGGACGGGUGAGUAAAGCCUAGGAAUCUGCCUGGUAGUGGGGGAUAACGCUCGGAAACGGACGCUAAUACCGCAUACGUCCUACGGGAGAAAGCAGGGGACCUUCGGGCCUUGCGCUAUCAGAUGAGCCUAGGUCGGAUUAGCUAGUUGGUGAGGUAAUGGCUCACCAAGGCGACGAUCCGUAACUGGUCUGAGAGGAUGAUCAGUCACACUGGAACUGAGACACGGUCCAGACUCCUACGGGAGGCAGCAGUGGGGAAUAUUGGACAAUGGGCGAAAGCCUGAUCCAGCCAUGCCGCGUGUGUGAAGAAGGUCUUCGGAUUGUAAAGCACUUUAAGUUGGGAGGAAGGGCAUUAACCUAAUACGUUAGUGUUUUGACGUUACCGACAGAAUAAGCACCGGCUAACUCUGUGCCAGCAGCCGCGGUAAUACAGAGGGUGCAAGCGUUAAUCGGAAUUACUGGGCGUAAAGCGCGCGUAGGUGGUUCGUUAAGUUGGAUGUGAAAUCCCCGGGCUCAACCUGGGAACUGCAUUCAAAACUGUCGAGCUAGAGUAUGGUAGAGGGUGGUGGAAUUUCCUGUGUAGCGGUGAAAUGCGUAGAUAUAGGAAGGAACACCAGUGGCGAAGGCGACCACCUGGACUGAUACUGACACUGAGGUGCGAAAGCGUGGGGAGCAAACAGGAUUAGAUACCCUGGUAGUCCACGCCGUAAACGAUGUCAACUAGCCGUUGGGAGCCUUGAGCUCUUAGUGGCGCAGCUAACGCAUUAAGUUGACCGCCUGGGGAGUACGGCCGCAAGGUUAAAACUCAAAUGAAUU
rnacentral:rRNA from 1 species